AUUUGAUGAUGAUGAUGCACCUUCAAAUGAUAAUUUUUUCGUAAGUGAACCGGAAAUUGCAAGCCAAACACAUGAAGCAACAAUUCCAUAAGAAGAACUAUAACAAUCAAAUGUUUACAGAUUAUCAAUUGAAUAGACAACGAAGAUGAUGCAUCGCCAAAAGUACUAUGUCGUGUUCGAGGGUAGGUCGCGAGGCAUAUAUACAGUUGGGAGCAGUGCCAACCAUUAGUGUAUUGAUACAAGGGCGCCCUCUUCAGAUUGUUCCAUACCUUCGAAGCAGCUGAAUAUCACAUGAAUGAAUAUCUCCACAACAAGUAUGGUGUGCAAUUACGUAGGUCAUUGGACAUUGACUAUGUCAACGCAACGCAAGAGGAAGAAGUGAUGCAGAGGAAUAAAUGGAAGUGCAGACAGAAACGUUUGAUUGCUUGUUUUGUUACUACUUGUUUUCUUUGUUGGAUCUGUACUCGUUAAACUUAUGUACUGGAUGGGACAACACGCUUGGGUUAAUAGUUUUUAACUUUCAUACAA